rnacentral:tRNA from 1 species
GCCGGGUGGCCGACGGUGACGUGGUGGCGGUGCUCGGAGUACCGUACGCGGCUCCGCCGUUCGGGGCCGCGCGGUUCCGCGAGCCGCAGCCGGUC